UACGAAGGGGGCUAGCGUUGCUCGGAAUUACUGGGCGUAAAGCGCACGUAGGCGGUCUUUUAAGUCAGGUGUGAAAUUUCGGAGCUUAACUCCGAAACUGCAUUUGAUACUGCGGUGCUCGAGGACUGGAGAGGAGACUGGAAUUUACGGUGUAGCAGUGAAAUGCGUAGAGAUCGUAAGGAAGACCAGUGGCGAAGGCGGGUCUCUGGACAGUUCCUGACACUGAGGCACGAAGGCCAGGGGAGCAAACGGG
rnacentral:rRNA from 1 species